CCUACGGGGGCAGCAGUGAGGAAUAUUGGUCAAUGGGCGAGAGCCUGAACCAGCCAAGUCGCGUGAAGGAUGAAGGAUCUAUGGUUUGUAAACUUCUGUCAGCAGGGAAGAACGGUCACUGUGCUAAUCAGCAGUGAAUUGACGGUACCUGCAAAGGAAGCACCGGCUAACUCCGUGCCAGCAGCCGCGGUAAUACGGGGGGUGCGAGCGUUAAUCGGAAUUACUGGGCGUAAAGCGCUCGUAGGCGGUAUGUCAAGUCAAGGGUGAAAUCCCCGCGGUCAACGUGGGAACUGCCUUUGAAACUGGUAAACUGGAGUGUGUGAGAGGAUAGUGGAAUUCCAGGUGUAGGAGGGAAAUCCGUAGAUAUCUGGAGGAACAUCAGUGGCGAAGGCGACUAUCUGGCACAUAACUGACGCUGAGGAGCGAAAGCGUGGGUAGCAAACAGGAUUAGAUACCCUAGUAGUC
rnacentral:rRNA from 1 species